GACCCUGUAGUGAAGUUCAUGUUGAGUUGCAAGCUCAUUGAUGUGUGCUGAUGGGUACACCAGGGUCU
rnacentral:tRNA from 1 species